CUCGUGGCCACACAGAAAGAUCACGUGGCCACACAGAAAGAUCUCGUGGCCACACAGAAAGAUCUCAUAGCCAAUUAGAGAGAUCUCAUGGCCGCACUGAGAGAUCUCGUGGUCACUCAGAGAGAUCUCACGUUCUAUCAGGAAGAUCUCAUGUCCUAUCAGGGAGAUCUCAUACCCUGUCAGGGAGAUCUCAUGUCCCAUCAGAGAGAUCUCAUCUCCUACCAGGGAGAUCUCAUGGCCAAUCAGGGAGAUAUCGAAGACAUUCACCAGUAGAAAGAUUCAAAACAUCACCCAAAAUUGAGUCUGAUUUUGACAGGUUUUUAAUAAUGAAAAGAAGGAAUGAACACUUCUGGAAGCAGAGGCAGCAAAGACAUGACCAAAUGAACAAGACGCGAAAGAUAUCACCAGAAAAUGACCGCAGCUUCCAUGAAAAUGAUCGACGAUGUGAAAGGUAAUUGCUGAUAGACAUCUAUAUAAUUAAAUUU
rnacentral:lncRNA from 1 species